CCGAGAAGUCUUGGCCGUUCGCGAGUCGUAGGGGCCCCCUCUGACGAACCCCGAAGGCGUAGCGAAAGCGAGAGAGCGUGUUGGGGGACGCCGACCGAGAGAGGUGUCGUGGCGAAGUCGUCAGGCGGUUGUCGGGUUAGGGUUAGCAGCGGUUUCGGCCGUCGCUUAUUCCUAGCUUCACCCGCCUCCUAGCCGUGCCCGAUCCCGCCGGUGCGGUGUCCUGCCGCUGUGUGUUUUUUUCUCCCCCGUCCGUCGUCGUAGUAACCAAUGCCGUGCGUGUUUGCGUGCGGUGGCGGCGGCGGCGCUGCUAUUCGUCGGGUGCGGGAAGGGCGCGCGGUUGUUUCCCUCCUCCCCGAGAGGGGACCGGACUAGGGAAUUGUGGGGCACCAGCUUCUAUCCUCCUUCCGCCCAUCGGUGAGAUCCCGCGGCUUGAACUAGUCCUAUUUUGUCGUCGAGUUUAGGCACUGCACGCGGGCGCAUCACCCCCGGGUCGGUUGUUUAACCUUUCCGAGUACGACUCGGCCGACUCUGGUGUAGCGAACGGCCAGGGACCCGAAAGAUGGCGAUCCACGCCCGGUCGGGAUGAAGCCAGAGGAAACUCUGGUGGAAGUCCGAAGCGCCUCUGACGUGCAAAUCGAUCGUCGGAACCGGGUGUAGGGGCGAAAGACCAAUCGAGCCGUCUA
rnacentral:rRNA from 1 species